AUGAGCAUGUUCUCAAUCAACUUAAUAGCUUUUAUAAGCAAAGAAGCAAGAAGGGUUGGGCUACUGGUGGUGAUCAUAAUACUAAAUUUUUUCAUCAAGCUGUUCUCAAGAGGAGGAAGAGGAAUACCAUUUGCUCUAUUAAAGAUGAAAAUGAUGUUUUGCAUUUCAGACCUGAUCUCAUUGCUAACACUUUUGUUAACUAUUUCAGAUAUAUCUUUUCGUCUCCUAAUGUUAAUUCUGGAAGACCUUUUCUUGCUUCACAGUUUCCUGACGGCUCUUUGGAUCCCACUUAUCUAA
rnacentral:rRNA from 1 species